ACAUGCAGACCAUAUUGAAAUACGCAGAGAAUUCCAUGGAGACUCUGAUGGCUAGGGCACCGUUGAGCUGUUGCAACUGUUCUGCUGGAGCCUUAUGUAUGUGGUUGAAACCACCUGUACUACUGGAAUGAAAGCACCUUUACAGAAGAGGCAAUGCAAGUUGUAUUCAUCACAUGUGUAGAAUGAAUUAAGAUUUAUGCCAGUUGCAAAGAAGAAUAUUGGCUCACUAUUUUUCCUCUGGGCAUCAGCAUAUGAUCCCCUGUUGAAGACAGACAAGUACAUCUUUCUGGUGGCUCCUAGACCUGGCAUUGGGAACAGAAGAUUAUCAGUAUGAUCCGUACGCUUAAGGAAAGAUCUCAUAUUAUUGAAAUGAAUAUUUUAUUUGAUAAAUUGAACUACAGAAUAAAGUACUUUUAACAAACC
ensembl:lncRNA MIR924HG MIR924 host gene